rnacentral:lncRNA from 1 species
CAAAACCUACUACAAAUCUAAGUCCUAAACAUUUAAACUACAAUUAUUACAAAAGCUUUUAAUAACAAAAAUAAGUCUUCAAAGGAUCUUCGUGAAUCUUAAUAUAUCUUGACUUCAUUUGGACAUCAUCAAAACUUCAUCUUCAUCAUUUUGCUAACAAGAGCUUGGCUGAAGCUAUAAAUACUGUUAUCAACCUGCUUGCUUGCCCCUACCACAACCUUUUCGUCACCCU